CGAAAUGCGAUAAGUAAUGUGAAUUGCAGAAUUCAGUGAAUCAUCGAAUCUUUGAACGCACAUUGCGCCCGCCAGUAUUCUGGCGGGCAUGCCUGUCCGAGCGUCAUUUCAACCAUCAAGCCCCCGGGCUUGUGUUGGGGACCUGCGGCUGCCCGCAGGCCCUGAAAACCAGUGGCGGGCUCGCUGUCACACCGAGCGUAGUAGCAAUCACCUCGCUCAGGGCGUGCUGCGGGUUCCGGCCGUUAAACAGCCUUACAAAACCCAAGGUUGACCUCGGAUCAGGUAGGAAGACCCGCUGAACUUAAGC
rnacentral:misc_RNA from 1 species